AGCUUUAGGAAAAUAUCUAAAGUUAAACCUGCCCAAUGUAAAAUAUUAAUGGCCGCGGGUACUUGACCGUGCUAAGGUAGCGUAAUCAGUUGGCUUUUAAUUGGGGUCAGGAAUGAAUGGAAUUUCGUAGUUUUUCUGUCUCUUAAAUAGUUAGUUGAAGUUACUAUAAAGGUGAAAAAGCCUUUAAUUGGAAAAAAGACGAGAAGACCCUUAGAGUUUUGCUAAAAGUAAUUUAUUAUGUAAAGUAAUUGCUACAGUUUAGUUGGGGCAACGUAGGAGAAAAGUAUAUUUAUAGGUUAAAUAACCUCCUAAAUAAAAACAGAUCGAUUAUUUUAAAUUUGAAUAAACUACCUUAGGGAUAACAGCAUAAUUUAGUAAAUAAGUUGUGACCUCGAUGUUGGACUGGGAACCUAAAAGGCUAGCCGUCUUUUAGUAAAGUUCUGUUCGAACUACUAAAUUCCC
rnacentral:rRNA from 1 species